rnacentral:rRNA from 1 species
CACUGGUGUUCGGGUUGUCAUGCCAAUGGCACUGCCCGGUAGCUAAAUGCGGAAGAGAUAAGUGCUGAAAGCAUCUAAGCACGAAACUUGCCCCGAGAUGAGUUCUCCCUGACCCUUUAAGGGUCCUGAAGGAACGUUGAAGACGACGACGUUGAUAGGCCGGGUGUGUAAGCGCAGCGAUGCGUUGAGCUAACCGGUACUAAUGAACCGUGAGGCUUAACCUUACAACGCCGAAGGUGUUU